AUGAGAACUAAUGAGAAUUUGUCACAUCAGCAAUUUAUAAAAAUAUUGUAAAAUAUUUUGUUUCGGUAACAUUACCCUUUUGAGAAACACUGUUGGCUUCCUCAAAUAUUCCUUCAGUGGACCUCUGAGCAUCAAUCCAUCGCAAUAAAGUUGAGGCAUGCAUGUAGCAAGGCAAAGGAUUCAAGUGAUACCUUAUGAUCUGUUUGGAUGGCAUGGGAUUUGGGGCUAGGAUUUGAAUUUGAGGGGCCCAAAAAACAAAGAAUUUGUAUUCGGCCCAAAUCCAUCCUGGAUUUCAAGGUCCAAUCUAUUGAUUUCAAAUUCCCUCACUAACCGUGGAAUUUGGGAAAUCCUCCCACAACACUGGCGUCUUCUCUGCCUUAAGCUGCAACAACAACAACGUUGAAGCCGCACGCACCAUGGUGUUCAGUUGCAACUGGUUGGUGGUGCCAAUGAAAUUACUCGGCAUACCCUUGCAUUUAGCACCAGUUGUGUGUUUGGUGUGCCUAGUAUAUAUUUCGUAAAAGGAUGCACUUAAUUUGUCUCUUGUUCUAUUCUUAUGAGAAGAGAAUAUUAUAGUUGUAAUGUUAGGAGAAGAGAAUAUUGCAUGUGUACCAUUUUUUCUCUCUCGUCCAUAAGACUAAUGUAUUGUUCUCUCUCAUCAAUGAAAUGCUGUUUGAUUU